AACUUGGAUCACCGAGCAGCACCUGAAUGCAGCAACAGAGUGUCUUAAAAGACCACAUCCUCAUUUUAAGAAGAAGAAAGUUUAAUGUGACGACCUCACACCAGUGUGUCUCAUGGAUGUGAUGAGAGGAGCAGCUAUGAGUUUAACAGCAGCAGCGAGUGGAUUUGUCGUCUUCCUUCUCUCUGUGCCAGUGAUUCAGGGUCAGGCUGGCUGGAGAGUGACUUACUCCUCUACUGAAGUCUGUGCCUUAAGAGGAUCAACUGUAGGUGCACCUACAGCUACCCAUCUACUACUACAGUUCAGAAGUCCUUCUGGUUUACUAAAGUCCAGGAUGGAGAACCUGUAGAUCUGCAAACAGACUCACAGUACACAGGUCGUGUGACCUACAGCUCUACCUGGAAGGACUCCACUCUGACAAUCACAAAUGUGGGAAAUAGUGACUCAGCUGUUUACAAGUUCAGGUUCAUAACAAA